CCUACGGGUGGCUGCAGUGAGGAAUAUUGGUCAAUGGGCGUAAGCCUGAACCAGCCAAGUCGCGUGAGGGAUGAAGGUUCUAUGGAUCGUAAACCUCUUUUAUAAGGGAAUAAAGUGCGGGAUGUAUCCCGUUUUGUAUGUACCUUAUGAAUAAGGAUCGGCUAACUCCGUGCCAGCAGCCGCGGUAAUACGGAGGAUCCGAGCGUUAUCCGGAUUUAUUGGGUUUAAAGGGUGCGUAGGCGGGCUGUUAAGUCAGCGGUGAACGUCUGGGGCUCAACCGUAGAAUUGCAGUUGAUACUGGGAGUCUUGAGUAUAUUAGAGGCAGGCGGAAUUCGUGGUGUAGCGGUGAAAUGCUUAGAUAUCACGCAGAACCCCGAUUGCGAAGGCAGCCUGCUGGGCCAUGACUGACGCUGAUGCACGAAAGCGUGGGGAUCAAACAGGAUUAGAUACCCCAGUAGUC
rnacentral:rRNA from 1 species